GGUUCGAUCAUGGUCAGAUUGAACGCUGGCGGGAUGCUUUACACAUGCAAGUCGAACGGCAGCACGACUUCGGUCUGGUGGCGAGUGGCGAACGGGUGAGUAAUGUAUCGGAACGUGCCUAGUAGCGGGGGAUAACUAAGCGAAAGGUAGGCUAAUACCGCAUACGCCCUUCGGGGGAAAGCGGGGACCUUCGGGCCUCGCACUAUUAGAGCGGCCGAUAUCGGAUUAGCUAGUUGGUGGGUAACGGCUCACCAAGGCGACGAUCCGUAGCUGGUUUGAGAGGACGAAUACUUCAGCCACACUGGGACUGGGAGAUGGCCCAGACUCCUACGGGAGGCAGCAGUGGGGAAUUUGGACAAUGGGGGAAACCCUGAUCCAGCCAUCCCGCGUGUGCGAUGAAGGCCUUCUCGGGUUGUGGAAGCACUUUUGGCAGGAAGAAACGGCACGGGAUAAUACCCCGUGCAACUGACGGUACCUGCAGAAUAAGCACCGGCUAACUACGUGCCAGCAGCCGCGGUAAUACGUAGGGUGCAAGCGUUAAUCGGAAUUACUGGGCGUAAAAGCGUGCGCAGGCGGUUCGGAAAGAAAGAUGUGAAAUCCAGGAGCUUAACUUUGGAACUGCAUUUUUUAACUACCGAGCUAGAGCGUGUCAGGGAGGGAGGUGGAAUUCCGCGUGUAGCAGUGAAAUGCGUAGAUAUGCGGAGGAACACCGAUGGCGAAGGCAGCCUCCUGGGAUAACACUGACGCUCAUGCACGAAAGCGUGGGGAGCAAACAGGAUUAGAUACCCUGGUAGUCCACGCCCCAAACGAUGUCAACUAGCUGUUGGGGCCUUCGGGCCUUGGUAGCGCAGCUGAAUAACGCGUGAAGUUGACCGCCUGGGGAGUACGGUCGCAAGAUUAAACCUAAAGGAAUUGACGGGACCGCACAAGCGGUGGAUGAUGUGGAUUAAUUCGAUGCAACGCGAAAACCUUACCUACUCCUUCUUGACAUGUCUGGAAUCCCGAAGAGAUUUGGGAGUACUGCAAGAGAACCGGAACACAGGUGCUGCAUGGCUGUCGUCAGGCUCGUGUCGUGAGAUGUUGGGUUAAGUCCCGCAACGAGCGCAACCCUUGUCAUUAGUUGCUACGAAAGGGCACUCUAAUGAGACUGCCGGUGACAAACCGGAGGGAAGGUGGGGAUGACGUCAAGUCCUCAUGGCCCUUAUGGGUAGGGCUUCACACGUCAUACAAUGGUCGGGACAGAGGGUCGCCAACCCGCGAGGGGGGAGCCAAUCCCAGAAACCCGAUCGUGGUCCGGAUCGCAGUCUGCAACCUGACUGCGUGCGGGAAGUCGGAAUCGCUAGUAAUCGCGGAUCAGCAUGUCGCGGUGAAUACGUUCCCGGGUCUUGUACACACUGCCCGUCACACCAUGGGGAGUGGGUUUUACCAGAAGUAGUUAGCCUAACCGUAAGGAGGGCGAUUACCACGGUAGGAUUCAUGACUGGGUGAAGUCGUAACAAGGUAG
rnacentral:rRNA from 1 species